ensembl:lncRNA
CGGCCAUCUGGCUGCUCAGCCCAGGCACUCCCUGCCCUGGUCUCCUGCCCACAGGGAAGGCCUGUCGUGUCAUGAUGCUGCCUCUCAGCACCAUCGAGGGCAAGGACACCCCCACCGAGGAGGUGAAGACCAAGCCACCUGAGAAAGGAGCCCUGCCUUCUGAGAAGCCGGAUGAGCCGCCGAACAACUCCUCCAAAAAGGAGGGAAGGAUGUCAGUCAAACUCCUGCCGAUCUGCCCUGUGGUGAGCCUGCCUGUUUCCUCCCUUGGCCAGAAGCCCUGGGUUCUGAGAGGUCAGGCACAUCCACCACCCCCUCUGCCCCGAGAGACCCUUGGGUAGCUGGGUCCCCCUUGUUCCCCAGGAUGUGGCUCCAUCUCUUGGGGGAUGUUUUUCUUAGAGACAUUUCCUGCUUUCCUGCCCCCCUCUCUUUCCUCAUUCCUGCCUCUGCUUCCGUGUCACCUCCUCCAGGAAGCCUUCCCUGGACCCUUCUUCCCCAUCCCUCACUAACCCCUUUCCUUGCUGAGGUUUCUUCAGCGUAAUGAUUGCUACCUGAGAGCAUGUCUGGUAUUUGUUUAUCAUCUGUCUCCCCCACUAGAGUAGUUCUGUGGAGGCAGGAACCGUCUCUAUUGUUCAGUGACACAUCCCUCAGCAGGUGACAGAUGACAGGAAGGGCAGGCGCUGUAUGCACGUGGGCUGAAUAAACGAAGGAAUGAAUUAGGGAGUGGUCCCUGCGGAGGCAGGCAGCUGUGGCCUUGCUCACCUGGAUCCGUUCUUCCUUUUUCUGCUAACACCUCUGAUUUUUCUUGGGGGACACCUGUCUGCGUGUGCUUAGGGUGGAUCUGACCCCGUCCUCAAACCAGCUCCAGCUGUGCCCCUGACCACAGAGCAGGCGAGGCCUGGAUUCACCGUGAUUGGUUCAGGGCUGGGCAUGUGACACAGCCUUGGCCAGUGAGGCGACGUCUCUAUCUCGGGGGUGUCGGGGCAGGCACAGGGUUGGGAUGCCGGCCAGAACAUCUUUCCUAUGUCCACAGCAGUGCCAGGGAGGACUCUAAAAAAAAUUCUUCUUAUUAGAGAAGAAGGUAAGAGUUACAGAUUUUACAAAACUCUGCAGUUGUUAACAUGUUUGCUGUUCGCUUUAUCUCCUUAAUGUGUAUGUGCAGAUGGAUAGACAUAUAUAUUCCUCAGUUUUUAGCACCUAAGAUAGUGAAUAUUCUCCUGCAUAACUCUGAGACUCCUGUAACCUAUGAGCUUUUAUCCCUGAUACACACUUUGAUCUAAUCUUUAUCUAAAUUCCUACUUUGCGAAUUGGCUACAUACUCUCUUCUUUUCAUUCUUUUCCCCAUUCUGGGCUAUUGUUCUUAGUAAUGUGUCUUUAGUUUUCCUUAAUCUGGAAAAAUUUCUCCAACGUUUCUUUGCCUCUUACUGCUCUCACAGUUUUAAAGAUCAGAGUCAUCCCUCCCUUUACUAGCGUAUUGUUUUUCGUUCUUUGUUUGUUUGUUUUACCAUCUCCCUGUGGAGUGAGACUCAGGGUAGCUGUGAUGUCUGGAGUACCACCUAAGUGAUCCCACAACUUCUCAGGACGUCCCGUCUAGAGGCACAUGAGGUCUGUCUGCCAUCGUUGGUGACGGGAGUUUUGAUCCACAUGGCCAAGAUGCUUGUCCCAUUCCUCCACUGCAUAAUCUCUCUCAUUUUUGUUUUAUUGAUGCAAUUGACUCAUAAGAAAUCCCUGGGGAGACACUCGCAGAUGGACCAAGGAACCCAGAAGCAGAGAGCGCUCUGAUUGGUCCAUUUCAGGCCCUGUGCCCACAACUGACCCCAUCAUCAGCUGCGGGCAUGGAGAAUCCUAAACGCUCAGCCUGGGUCCCACAGCCAUGGAGUGUGGGGGGUAGAAGGUCCCUAACUUUCCCCACUCAGGAGAACAGGAGCAUGGGGUCAGGCAGUGAUUCUCAGCCAGAGGCAGUUUAUCCUCCAGGGGACACCCUCAAUGUCUGGCAACAUUUUGGGGUGUUACACCGGAAGGGCUGAAGCUGCAGGUACCUUGUGGGCAGAGGCCAGGGACAGUGCUCAACAUCCUGAAAUGCACAGGAUGCCUGUCCCUUCAGGGAAGGAUCUGGACCCCAACUGUCCGUGACGAAGAACCCUGGGAAUAGGGGAAGGAUGGUUUUGUGAAGGCACCGAGGGGAAGCCAAACCCUCUCACUAAGCAGCCAACAUUGUUUAAGCUCCAUUUCUUGGGUCCCCUGUCCAGUCCUCAUGCUCCCCUCUGUGGGAGCAGUUCUUGAUAUUCCAUGAUACAGGAGUGUACACUGAGGCAGAAGGCCAGGUCUCCUGCCCCAGGACCCCCAGCUGUACAUGGCCCCUUCGGAAGGAACUCAGCCCCAGGUAGAUUCGCUCUGAGUCCAGCCGCUCCCACCCUGUGGAGAGUGGGCUCCACCCUCAGCAGUAACGUGCUCCCCUUUCUUCUCUCUUCUCUUUGCUUUAAGCCAACUGUUUGCUUCGCCUAUUACUUGGAAACGGAUGACUCUGACUCUGAUCCGCAGUCUCCUCCUGAAACUUGGAAACCUGGUUCAGAUGGCGCCUCCCCUUCGAAGCCUGGUGAGGAGUAUCAGGAAGUCCAGACGUGGGAAUGUCCCCUGUGCUGCCUCAGCAUCCUCUGCCUUUCCUAAUACCUGACAUCCCUCUGCUUCCUGCUCUACACCACGCUCUCCUGAAACGUGCAUGCUGGGCCACUGUGGUGUAAAAUCCCAAAAUACAGACACUUAAAUUGGC